rnacentral:lncRNA from 1 species
CAAGAAGAUUGAGUCGAUUGUCUCCGCCAGAUGCCUAGUCUCCUCCGUUUCUCUUUUCCUUUCAUUGCCCUCGAUAGGUGAACAACGACAAAAUUUUAAGAGAUUUCUGUAUGUCGGCGACAAACAAAGAGAAAAUCAUGAAUGGAGCUAAAAGAGCUUCGAUUUGGAAUUUUCGUUUCUCAAAAGAUAGUGAAAAACAUAGAAGUAUUUUGAAAUCAUUCUUCAAUUGUUUUGUGAAAAAUCAUGACUUUGUGUUUUGAUUCAACAAAUACCUGUUAAUUUUGGAGAAAAUCCCUUGAAAAGUUCCAGAUCUAGGGCAAAUAGAAUCUCUUUUAGAGACUUGAAAAGAUUUUUUUAUUGUUUAUGAAUUUUUUUUUUUGACCAAAUAAAAAUGGGAGGGAGAGUGAAUUUUGUUGGAGGGAAUAUAAUAUUUUAGCCAAAAUUAUAAGGCCACACUUGGUAAGUGUUGUUUUUAUAAUUAUAAAAAUAGC